AGUGAACGCUGGCGGCAGGCCUAAUACAUGCAAGUCGAACGGCAGCACAGCAGAGCUUGCUCUGUGGGUGGCGAGUGGCGGACGGGUGAGGAAUACAUGGGAAUCUGCCCAGUCGUGGGGGAUAACGUAGGGAAACUUACGCUAAUACCGCAUGCGCCCUUCGGGGAAAGCCGGGGACCUUCGGGCCUGGCGCGAUUGGAUGAGCCCAUGUCGGAUUAGCUAGUUGGCGGGGUAAUGGCCCACCAAGGCGACGAUCCGUAGCUGGUCUGAGAGGAUGAUCAGCCACACUGGAACUGAGACACGGUCCAGACUCCUACGGGAGGCAGCAGUAGGGAAUAUUGGACAAUGGGCGCAAGCCUGAUCCAGCCAUGCCGCGUGAGUGAAGAAGGCCCUCGGGUUGUAAAGCUCUUUUGUCCGGAAAGAAAAGCGCCGGGUUAAUACCCUGGUGUCCUGACGGUACCGGAAGAAUAAGCACCGGCUAACUUCGUGCCAGC
rnacentral:rRNA from 1 species